UACGAAGGGGGCUAGCGUUGCUCGGAAUUACUGGGCGUAAAGCGCACGUAGGCGGCUUUCUAAGUCGGGGGUGAAAUCCUGGAGCUCAACUCCAGAACUGCCUUCGAUACUGGAAAGCUCGAGUCCGGGAGAGGUGAGUGGAACUGCGAGUGUAGAGGUGAAAUUCGUAGAUAUUCGCAAGAACACCAGUGGCGAAGGCGGCUCACUGGCCCGGUACUGACGCUGAGGUGCGAAAGCGGUGGGGAGCAAACAGG
rnacentral:rRNA from 1 species